rnacentral:rRNA from 1 species
GACGAACGCUGGCGGCGUGCUUAACACAUGCAAGUCGAGCGGAAAGGCCUUUCGGGGUACUCGAGCGGCGAACGGGUGAGUAACACGUGAGUAAUCUGCCCUGCACUCUGGGAUAGCCACCGGAAACGGUGAUUAAUACCGGAUAUGACAUACCGGCGCAUGUUGGUGUGUGGAAAGUUUUUUCGGUGUGGGAUGUGCUCGCGGCCUAUCAGCUUGUUGGUGGGGUAAUGGCCUACCAAGGCUUCGACGGGUAGCCGGCCUGAGAGGGUGACCGGCCACACUGGGACUGAGACACGGCCCAGACUCCUACGGGAGGCAGCAGUGGGGAAUAUUGGACAAUGGGCGGAAGCCUGAUCCAGCAACGCCGCGUGAGGGAUGACGGCCUUCGGGUUGUAAACCUCUUUCAGCACAGACGAAGCUUGGUCUUUUUGGGUCUUGUGACGGUAUGUGCAGAAGAAGGACCGGCCAACUACGUGCCAGCAGCCGCGGUAACAC